GCGGCCGCUGCAGCUGCGGCUAGCCCGGGCUACCGGCUGAGCACCCUCAUUGAAUUUCUGCUGCACCGGGCCUACUCGGAGCUUAUGGUGUUGACGGACCUACUGCCAAGGAAAUCUGAUGUGGAAAGGAAAAUAGAAAUAGUGCAGUUUGCUAGCCGGACACGCCAACUCUUCGUUCGAUUAUUAGCUUUAGUGAAAUGGGCUAAUAAUGCUGGCAAAGUGGAAAAAUGUGCGGUGAGUUAAACUUUUUAUUUUACUUUGUAUAAAAUAACUUCGAAUGUUAUGAUAGACAUAGUUUUACAUUUUAGCUUUAACUUAUCCCUGCUGAUUUGAGUGACAUGUGAAUGAUCAUAUUUCUGAAUGAUAAUGUAUAUUUCUGCAGAAACUUAGUAUUUGUUUAUGGACACCUGAUCAGAAAGAAGAGGAGAUAGCUGGAGACAUCAUUACGUGAGGAGACUUUAAAUAUGAGACUGGAACUAAAGGGGGAAAAUUGUUAGUUUAUAUUCGUGCUAUUCUUUAGAAU
rnacentral:sRNA from 1 species